rnacentral:rRNA from 1 species
CCUACGGGUGGCAGCAGUGAGGAAUAUUGGUCAAUGGCCGAGAGGCUGAACCAGCCAAGUCGCGUGAGGGAAGACGGCCCUACGGGUUGUAAACCUCUUUUGUCGGGGAGCAAAGACAGUCACGUGUGACUCACCGAGAGUACCCGAAGAAAAAGCAUCGGCUAACUCCGUGCCAGCAGCCGCGGUAAUACGGAGGAUGCGAGCGUUAUCCGGAUUUAUUGGGUUUAAAGGGUGCGCAGGCGGAGGGUCAAGUCAGCGGUAAAAUCGCGGGGCUCAACCCCGUAGUGCCGUUGAAACUGCAUCCCUUGAGUGGGCGAGAAGUAUGCGGAAUGCGUAGUGUAGCGGUGAAAUGCAUAGAUAUCGCGCAGAACUCCGAUUGCGAAGGCAGCAUACCGGCGCGCAACUGACGCUCAUGCACGAAAGCGUGGGUAUCGAACAGGAUUAGAUACCCGAGUAGUC